AUUUAGGUCAAAAAUUGGUGAAUUUAGGUCAAAAAAUUGGUGAAUUUCAAAAUUUGGUCAAUUUAGGUCAAAAAAUGGUGAAUUUAGGUCCAAAAUUCGGUGAAUUGAGGUCAAAAAAUUGGUGAAUUUCAAAAUUUGGUGAAUUUAGGUCAAUAGGUGGUGAAUUUAGGUCAAAAAUGGUGAAUUUAGGUCAAAAAGUGGUGAAUUUAGGUCAAAAAAUUGGUGAAUUUCAAUAUUUGGUUAAUUUAGGUCAAAAAUUGGUGAAUUUAGGUCAAAAAAUGGUGAAUUUAGGUCAAAAAAUUGGUGAAUUUCAGGAUUUGGUGAAUUUAGGUCAAAAAUUGGAGAAUUUAGGUCAAAAAAUGGUGAAUUUAGGUCAAAAAAUGGUGUAUUUAGGUAAAAAAAUUGGUGAAUUUCAAAAUUGGUCGAAUUUAGGUCAGAAAUUGGUGAAUUUAGGUCGAAAUUUGGUGAAUUUAGGUCAGAAAUUGGAGAAUUUAGGUCAAAAAAUGGUGAAUUUAGGUCAAAAAAUGGUGAAUUGAGGUCCAAAAUUGGUGAAUUUCAAAAUUGGUCGAAUUUAGGUCCAAAAGUGGUGAAUUUAGGUCAAAAAAUGGUGAAUUUAGGUCAAAAUUCAGCGAAUUUAGGUCAAAAAGUGGUGAAUUUAGGUAAAAAAUCGGCGAAUUUGGGUCCAAAAUUGGCGAAUUUAUGUCAAAAAAUGGUGAAUUGAGGUCCAAAAAUGUUGAAUUUCAAAAUUCGGUGAAUUUAGGUCCAAAAUUGGUGAAUUUAUGUCAAAAAAUGGUGAAUUGAGGUCCAAAAAUGUUGAAUUCCAAAAUUCGGUGAAUUUAGGUCCAAAAUUGGUGAAUUUAUGUCAAAAAACGGUGAAUUGAGGUCCAAAAUUGGUGAAUUUCAAAAUUCGGUGAAUUUAGGUCAAAAUUUGAUGAAUUUAGUUCAAAAAAUGGUGAAUUUAGGCUAAAAAUUGGAGAAUUUAGGUCAAAAAUCGGCGAAUUUAGGUCAAAAGUGGGAAAUUUAGAUUUAAAAAUGAC